rnacentral:rRNA from 1 species
UACGUAGGGGGCAAGCGUUGUCCGGAAUCAUCGGGCGUAAAGCGCGUGUAGGCGGCCCGGUAAGUCCGCUGUGAAAGUCCAGGGCUCAACCCUGGGAUGCCGGUGGAUACUGUCGGGCUCGAGUCCGGAAGAGGCGAGUGGAAUUCCUGGUGUAGCGGUGAAAUGCGCAGAUAUCAGGAGGAACACCAAUGGCGAAGGCAGCUCGCUGGGACGUGACUGACGCUGAGACGCGAAAGCGUGGGGAGCAAACAGG